GGAAGAGUGGCUGAGCUGGUUGAAGGCGCACGACUCGAAAUCGUGUUUAGGGUAAAACCUAACGUGGGUUCGAACCCCACCUCUUCCGCCA
rnacentral:tRNA from 1 species